rnacentral:rRNA from 1 species
GACGAACCACACAAACGUUAUUCGGAAUUACUGGGCUUAAAGGGUGCGUAGGCGGCGCGGAAAGUUGGGUGUGAAAUCCCUCGGCUCAACCGAGGAACUGCGCUUAAAACUGUGGGACUCGAGGGAGAUAGAGGAAAGCGGAACUGAUGGUGGAGCGGUGAAAUGCGUUGAUAUCAUCAGGAACACCGGUGGCGAAGGCGGCUUUCUGGGUCUUACCUGACGCUGAGGAACGAAAGCCAGGGGAGCGAACGGG